CUUUUUUUUUUUUUUUUUUUUAGUGCUCAAUACACCAGGAGAAGUAUAAAAAGAAGUGAGGGGCACCAGCUGGCUCAGUUGGCAGAGGGCGCGACUUUUUUUUUCUUUAAGAUGUGAGAGACAGCAUGAGUGGGAGGGGUAGAGGGAGAGAGCAGUCUCAAGCAGACUUCCCACUGAGCGCAGAGCCUGAUGUGGAGCUGGAUCUCACAACCCUGAGAUUAUGACCUUAGCCAAAACAGAGUCAGACAUUCUACCAACUGAGCCACCUAGGUGCCCUGAACGUGUGACCCUUGAUCUCAGCAUUGUGAGUUCAAGACCCACUUAGGGUGUAGAGCCUCUUUAAAAAGUGUUUUCUCAUGAAUGGAAUUGGAGAGAGUUUCCAGGAAGUGGGUAGAUUUGAUCUGGACUUGGAGAUGAGUAGGAGAUGUAGGUUCUGGGAGAACUGGGACCUUGUCCAUCUUUUUUUUUUUUUUUAAUAAAGUCUAUUUCUAACAUGGGUCUCGAACUCAUGACCCCAAGAUCAAGUGUCAAUAUGCUCUGCCAACUGAGCCAGCCAGGCUCCCCACUGUCUGUCUUGUCAUCUCAGCACUUGAAACUGCCUGGCAUACAGUAGACAAUGAAAUGAUGUCAUUUGAGGCUGAAGGAAUGUUGUGAGCAAAUGGACAGAAUUUCCUAUGUUCCUGAAAGAGCAAGUAUUCUGCUGUGGCUAGAUCUGUACAUUGAGGAGUUGAAGAGAGAGGUGAGAGAAUAGAAGUUGGGCCAGAUUGGAGUCUUUUGUGUUCUCCAGAGGACUGUGGUCUUGAUUCUGUGAGAAAAGGAAACCUUGGUGAAUUUUUUAGUAGGGAAAUGACAUUUGUACUGAGGAAGAUAAUUGUGGUGUGUGUGGAUAGCACCUUAGGGGAGACAGAAAAAAGCUCUAAGGGAGGUGUGAUGGCAGAGACAAUGGAUGACUUGACAGCAACGUCAGUGACAACUUUAACAUGAACAAUGUGGGCAUGAGGAAGAGGGAGGAAUCAAGGGUGACCUCAUGGUCUGUGGCCAACCGUUUCAGAUCGAGAACCCAAGUGGAGAGGGAACACAACAGUUGUAUUUUUAACAUUUUGAGUUCAGUGUCUACAAACAAUGUCCCAGGGCGCAGAAGAGGAGGACCCAGUGUGCUGCAGUCGAGGGUCAUUGUUUCAAAUGCUCACAAUCUAGAGAGCUGAGUAGAAGUAAAGCCAUCCACCUUACAUCAGCCUGUGUUACCAUGUACCAAAGCUCGAGACUACCUGUCCGAGUUUCUGGUGACUACACUACUAGACUGGACUUUCAAACAGUAGUGGGUGUUCUCAGAUAGAGUGAUGGUUAAUUUUCUGUGUCAGCUUAACUCGUCUGAGGGAUGACCAGAUAGCUGAGAAAAUAUUAUUUCUGGACAUAUAAGUGAGGGUGUUUCAGGAAGAGAUGAGCUUUUGAAUUGGCGAAGAAGUAAAGUGGAUCACCCUCACCAAUGCAAGUGGGGAUGGUCCAAUCAUUGAGGGCCUGAAUGGAACAAAAGACAGGGGAAGGGUGAAUGUGUUUUUUUGCUCAAGCUGUGACAUCUGUCUUCUGUUCUUGGACCUCGGAGCUCCUGGGUCUCGGGCCUUCGGGCUUGGAUUGGAGCUGCACCACCGGCUUUCCUUCACCUCCAACUAUCAUGAGACAGAUUGGGGGCUCCUCAGCCUCUGAAAUCGUGUGGGCCAAUUCCCCUAGUAAAUCUUUGUAUCUAUACAUAUCAUACCACUUCUCUUUCCCUGGAAAACGCUGAUACAAAUGGAAUUGAGCUCAUGAACCUCUUCCCAAAGCUGCUGUUCUCUCUUCCACACACCAGGACAUCACUUCAAACCCAGGCUGAAGUGUUCUUCUUGUUCCCAUAAAAGUUUGGUGUGGCCUUUCUAGGAACCCACUUUUCCUGAUUUGAUUCUUUAUUUGAAAAUACAUUUUUUUUUCUUCUUUUGGCAGAUUCUUUUAAAGAAGAUAAUUGCCUAAAAUGUCAUUUUUGCUACUUUACCAUCCCCAGAGUUGGCACUAUAAAUCAUCACUGUAAGGAAUUUUCUUGCUUUCAUUAACCACGGUAGGUAGCUCAUGAGGAUGCUGUGUAAUCUCUGUGUUAGUCAUCUGCUGGCAAACAGAACUUCCAUGGCCUUCCUCUCUACUUCACAGCUGAGAACCUUCUUUUGCAGUCUUGGUGCCAGCAACAGGGUGGAGACCCCCUGGUAUUUUAGGCUGUUUAGACUCCCUGGUUCGGCCAAUCCUUCCUGCUUUCAGAUUAUUCCCCUUACUGUUUUUCUCCACUGGGGUCUCUAAGAUUCUAUGUUUUGUUUUAACAAAAAUUACACUUCCCAUCCAAGGAGACUUUGUUUCUACAAAGGGAAAGACUGAGUUCCAUGGCCUUUACAACAAGCUCCAUCAUAAUGGCUAGAAUGUGGCAGAGCUGCAUUUGACCCAUUCUUCCCAGCCUUCUGAACUUUCCAUUAUGAUACAGCUGGGAAUAUCUUUCAGUGCCAUGGCUCUGUGAUCUUCCUUCCCUGGGCACAAAGUUGAGAUCUGUGUCUCACAGCUGACAGGAAUAUCUUGUAACUGCUCAUGGGAUACUGGUAUCCAGACGUGAGUCUCUCACCUGGCUCUUUUUAAAGUUUAGCCAAGUUUAAGAGACUAAGUUAGCAGGUGCAACAUGCUCUUUGGGGGCUUUCCUCUUUUACUCGUCACACCCUUAGACCAGUUGUGGCUGCUUCAGAGCCAGCUUUUAAAUCCCUUCCACCCUGUUCCAUCUUAGUAACAAAAACAGCUUGACCAACAGCAAAAGUACAAACACUGCCUCCUCAGUUUUCCUUGCUAUUUAUAGUUUUAUCCCUACCCUGGUCUUCUUUGGCUUUAGGUAGCUGGUAUCUGGGUCAAUUGACCCAUGCCCUCCGAAGUGAAUGCUGCAGCUUUAAUCAGAGGCCACUCAUUCCAUCUUUGUCUCAUUCUCUCUUUUCUCUUGUUGCUUAUUGGCUAAAGUGUUCCUAGUGGCUACUGGUUUUCUUUACACUGUGCCAAUCUGCAUCAGUUGGCUGUUGUGUAGCAGAAGCCAAUGAGGAAGAGAAAGAAGGCAGGGGAACCAAGUUUGUAUGGUCUCUGGGGAGGAGUGGUAGGCCAUGGAGACAUGGUAGUUUAGUCAGACCAUCCAAAGAUUCAGGCCAUUUUAAUAAUACACUUUUCAGCUCUGUGUCCUCAUUUCUGUCAGCUGCCUGUUCCUAUUGCAGUAGGUAGAUAUGGGGGGUGGGGGUAGGGUUGUUUCCCACAGUAGGUCAGUAACAACCUUCAAGAGGAUGCAAGUCGAAACAUAAAUGUCUGACCAGGAAAUAAUUCCAGGUUCACCUCCGGGACUCUCAGAGUUCUCGUGAGGAAAACCAAGAUCCCAGAGACAAGAAAAUCAUCUUUAGAUUCCAUGUCCGUUUCCUAGUGAGUCUUGUCCAGCCAAGACCAGAACCAAAGGAGAAGAAGGAAAUACACACACGGAUGGCUUGGUGGUGGGUGGGUUUCGAGCCAUUUUGAAGCGAUAGUGAAGCAAAGCCUGCAGCUAGAGCCUGCCGUUUUAGUGUGACCUGAACCGGGGACAGGAACAAUCUUGAAUAGAAGCCCUAAAAAUUGAAUUUGCUACCACUACAAAUAGCUCUCAAUCCAAGGAAGCACUGUGGGCAUGUACUAUUCUAAACACUACAUUUUUUACCUCACUGAAUCCUCAUAGCAAGUGAGAAAGAGACACUAUCUCCAUGUUACAAACAAGCAAAUUAAAGUGUAAUUUAAUGACUCUGCUAACACUCUCUCUGCCUCCUAACCAAGAAUAUAGUUCAAAAGAAGAAAAGGGAUUUAUAGGAAAAUGUUCACUCGAUGGUAACUUCUAAGAAGAAACUGAACAUAACCUAAACAUCUAACAGCUUCACAGAGUACAAAUCAGUGUAAUAUGAUUCAAAAAGUUAUAAUAAUUUAUAAUAAUUGUAAUAAACCUGUUGCAGGGAGGAAAGUCAUUCGUGACAUACGUGGGCAAUGGUGCAGGGGCAUGUACCUCUCUCUGGUGGGGUUUAUAUAGCCAUGACUAGAAGAGAACUUGAGAGAAUGAAAAGAUAAUGUAUUCAAAUGGGACAUGUGAUGUCCUUUGGAUUUUGUUUUAAUCUUCAUCCUACUGCUUAUACAAUAAAUUAAAACUUGUGUCUCCUUCAUCUUUAUAAUUCUAUAACCAGUAUUCAGUGGCCUAGCAAACAUUUCUGGUAACUUUAUGUUCUCUCCACCACCACCCCCAGGUAUCUAAGUUUUCACACUUUAUUGUUUCUGCUGUUCCCUUUUGUCUGCCUUUGACAUAAGGUAGGUGAGAAACAGUAAAAGUAGCAAUAAAUCACCAUGUUCAGAUAGAAUAACAAUAAAGCUUUAUCUUGAAAGUUUCCAAGUAAGUUAUUACCUAGUUCUGCUACAUAUUUGAUACGUGAACAAAUAUACAAAAAACAGGGGAUCCCUGGGUGGCUCAGCAGUUUGGUGCCUGCAUUCAGCCUGGGGUGCGAUCCUGGAGACUCGGUAUUGAGUCCCACAUCGGGCUCCCUGCAUGGGGCCUGCUUCUCUCUCUCUGCCUGUGUCUCUGCCCCUCUCUCUCUCUCAGUCUCUCAUUAAUAAAUAAAUAAAAUCUUUUUAAAAAAUAUA
rnacentral:lncRNA from 1 species